rnacentral:lncRNA from 1 species
GUCUAUAAGCAGUUGAAUUAAUUUCAAGUUUGAAGCGGUGCAAAUUUUUUAAUUCAAUUUGACUUUUAUCAAAAAAGGGAAAGAAUGAAUAAUGGUGGUCUGAGGCCAGAAUUGUUUUCCUUAGGUUAAAUGGGUAGUUGAUUGUUAUGCGCAUUUUAUCGUUCAUUAAAACGUUUUUAUGAUUCAUUUAAGGUGAUUCUAAUUUCUAUGCGAGGAACCAAAAAACGGAGACGCCAGCAAAUUAUUAAGAAC